GGCCGAGCUGCGAGAGAGGUUGGUCAGAGGCGGCGCGAAACGGGGCUCGCGGGACGGGGGUCGCGGGAGGAGAGAGGGCGGGGUCGCUGGGCAGAGGUCUUAGGAGGGGUGGGGGUCCGGUCGCCGGGCGAGGGUCACGGGGCGAGGAUCAUGGGGGCGGGGGCCGGGGGUCGCAGCCCGCGGGGUCGGAGCUGCGGGGCGGGACAUGGGGGGGCCCAGAGCACUGGGCGGCGGCUGCAAAGCCUGGAUCACCUUGAUGAGCGGAGAGACCUGCACCGGCGGCACCAUCUUGUCCCUGACCUCCGCACCGGAAGCACAACCUGCAGACCGAGGAGGAUGCCGCACAAGCCCGCAAAGCCUUGCAGGCAAAGGCGGAGCUGGGCGGACGCAUGCGCCGUCAGCGGCGAGAGAGCGGGGGGGGCCGCGCCCCCUGGCGACCGGAAGGGUGACUGCGCGCCCCCGCGCGGCUGUGACGUCACGUGAGGCGCACGCGCACAAAGGCUGGGGAGUGCGCGGAGGACCAUCGGCUGCGCCUGCGCAGUUGCUGCGUGAGGCGGGGUCUGCGCCGAGUGGGUGGGGGGUUUCCUUUCCCCGCAGGGCUGGGGGUCCGCUGUUUCCCCGCGCUGCUGCCGAGGCCCCGCCGUCCGCGUCUUGGCCGUGUGUCCACACCCCAGACUGCGGACCGGGGCGCACUCUGUCUUCUUGCGCGGAGCGUCCGAGGCCUGAGGUCAGGGCGGCUCGGCGGGUCCAGCCCCGCGGACCGCACCCACCCGAGGGUGGCCUGGGCAGGGACCUGGGGGUCUUGGGAGCGGAGUGUGAGCCGAGUGCAGGUGGCUCCCCGGGCAGGUCCUUCUCCUACAAGGCAGUAGUGUCUGUCGCCGGCCGGGCCGCGUUGGAUUCCGCGGCCCGCGGGAGCAUGGCCUCCAGGCCCUUCUUCCUGCGGCUGCUCUGCUUGGGAGCACCGGGCGCCCUUCAUCGCGGAGCUGGAGCUUCCUCACCCCAGGAUGCCCAUCGCUUCUGUCCCGAGGAGGGGCUGGGAUCUUCUUGGGAAGACCAGCCCCCAACAGAGGCUGCUCCCUGGGUCCCCCGACUCCAGCCCUCAGGACUCCACGGCUCCAAGGGCCCGCCCCGGCCCAGGCCUGGGGACCACUGAGCCCCACACUGGUCUUUGCUGGCCUCUGUCCACCUCCCGGUAGCUGUGUGUCUCCCACAGCUGCCCAGAGAUGGGGCCUGAGGUGCCUAUACAGCCUCCCCGCUGUGCCCGAAGUGCUGACCCGCCAGCCCCAUGGACACCAGGCUUGGAGUCUAGGCAGGAGCCUGGCCCCCCCACCACGUUCUGGGUCUUCCUGGCGGCAGCCAUGCUGCCAGUGCUGGGCCACCCUCAGGCCCCCUUUGGCCCCAUGCGGUAGUGAUGCAAGGCCUCCUGUGUCCCCUCCUGGCCCUGCACUGCUACGGGCAGAAGCAACUGGAGAACUAUGGCUCGGGCCUCGCUAAGGUGCAGCAUCACAAACUCCAGGACUCUUGAAGCAAGCAUGGGGAGGACCCGUGAUCCUGGCGGCCUGGGCUGCCUGUCCGGGCCUAAGUCGCCUCUGCCCCCUCUCCUGGCUUGCUCUGGGGUCCAAGGCCUGGGCCUCUCUGGCUGAGAAACUAGGAAGUCACUGGGCUCUGUUUCCUGAGCUGGGUAUACCAAGGCCAGUCCUAUAGGGCAGGGGUCCCCAACCCCCAGGUGCGGACCAGUACCAGCUUGUGGCCGGUUAGGAACCGGGCAGCACAGGACGAGGUGAGGGAGCAUUGAGGGAGCAUGAUCGCCCGAGCUCCACCCACUUUCAGAUCAGCCUGGGCAUCAGAUUCCCAUAGGAGCGUGAACCCUACUGUGAGCUGUGCACUUGGAUCUGGAUUGCGCUCUGCUUCUGUGAGGCUGGCUGGCAGUCCCUGAAGACUCCUGCCUGAGGCCUCUGCCUGAACCCUGUCCUCAGGGGGCCAGAAGCAAACUCCAGCCCUCCCUGGGUCUACUGCUCGCUGAGGAAGCCGCAGGUGCACACUGGAUCCACAAGGCACAGAACCAUCUUGGCCCUCCGCAAGCCCCCCCCUUCCGCCAGGGCAGACGGCCUCAGGUGACAAUGGGUUUUUCCUUCACUGGAGUUUAAAAUAAACCAGACUCCUCAGCA